CCACGAUGAGCUCGUUCCAGUAGGUCUUGGUGUGGAUCUGCUCCGAGCGAGACUCGCCUGGAAGGAUCAUGACCUCCUCGCGCUUCACGUGUGGCGUGCGUGAGUGGCUCACCGCGGUCGUGGUGCUCUCAAGAAUCAUACUCACGGGCAGCUGCUGGUCGGACAGCUCUCGGGCCGAAGAGCGUCUUGUUACAAAUGGCCGAUGUAUCAGCCUCCUCCACAUCUUGCUGCCAGUGGCUGAGACAGAACACAACAAACCAAAACACCCACAGCUGCAUUAAAUGAAGAUGCUAAGAAUCAAUGUUAAGGUUCCAAUUGCGGCUCUUGCAGCCCUACCUGUCGGGCGGUGCCAUCCUGACGUCCCGACACAACCGUCCGGUCCAGGCACAGGUCCAGUUCGAUGUGCUGCACGGGCUGCGGGACGGGAAACAGAACCAUCUCCUCGAUGAUGUGCAUCUUGUCGUUGGCGUUGACGGCUUUGUGUAGCUUUCCGUCAUCUGGGCACAACGGCAAAAAAAGUUCAAUGGGUUGCAUGUCAUCUCAUUGCACCGGACUAUCGUUCUAUUAGUCAUUUCAAACUGCUAUAUUUGCUAGAGGACUCUGCAUCUUUUUGCACAAUUGUCAAAAGAAAAGAAAAAAAGCACCGGCAUUACCACAUUACUGGUAACCUUUUAUUGCUCAGUGACAGUGUUUUUUAUGUCUUUAUGUCUCAAAAGUAUUCUCCGUCAGUUGACUGUCUGGUGUCGUACUAGAGCGGCUCCAACUACCGGAGACAAAUUCCUUGUGUGUUUUUGAAAUACUUGGCAAAUAAAGAUGAUUCUGAUUCUGAUGUUUGAGACCCACCCACUCUAUGCUAAACUGUGCACUGGAGGUACCCUUAAGAGGGGCACAUUUUGGAAACAAACAGUUGGG